rnacentral:rRNA from 1 species
UACGAAGGGGGCUAGCGUUGUUCGGAAUUACUGGGCGUAAAGCGCGCGCAGGCGGCUAUCCAAGUCAGUGGUGAAAGCCCGGAGCUCAACUCCGGAACUGCCAUUGAAACUGUUUAGCUUGAGGACGAGAGAGGUGAGUGGAAUUCCCAGUGUAGAGGUGAAAUUCGUAGAUAUUGGGAAGAACACCGGUGGCGAAGGCGGCUCACUGGCUCGUAUCUGACGCUCAGGCGCGACAGCGUGAGGAGCAAACAGG